UAUAUCAGUCAUGCAUAGCAUAUCAAUAAGCGGAGGAAAAGAAACUAACAAGGAUUCCCUUAGUAACGGCGAGUGAAGCGGGAAGAGCUCAAAUUUGAAAUCUUCAAGGUUUUACCUUGACGAAUUGUAGUUUAAAGAAGUGUUUUCUGUUGAAGUUUUGGUAAAGGUUCUUUGGAAUAGGACAUCAUAGAGGGUGAGAAUCCCGUAUUUGACCAUUACUUUCAGCUUUGUGAUACACUUUCAAAGAGUCGGAUUGUUUGGGAAUGCAGUCCAAAAUGGGUGGUAAAUUUCAUCUAAAGCUAAAUAUUGGCGAGAGACCGAUAGCGAACAAGUACCGUGAGGGAAAGAUGAAAAGAACUUUGAAAAGAGAGUUAAACAGUACGUGAAAUUGUCAAAAGGGAAGCGUUUGACACCAGUGUUGUCUUCUCGAAAAUCAAUUAAAAAGAGUUGGAUUUUGUGUUGUAUUGACUUUAUCAGGCUUUCUUCACUCUUUUCCAGCUUUUUUUAAUGCACUUUUCGUUUAACAAGUCAACAUCAGUUUCUUUUGUUGUAAAAAGGUCAUUGGAAGGUGGCUUUCUCUUCGGAGAAAGUGUUUAUAGCCUUUGACUCAUGCAAUCGGAGAGACUGAGGUCUGCAGCGUAGAUCCUUCGGGGUUAGAUACAUUUGUGCUAAGUUAUAGCUUUUCAUAGACAACUUGUUGACUAUGUUUAGUCUUGUAGCUUACUCGCUUAUGCUAUUUUACCUACGCUUAGGAUGUUGAACUCUAUCACACACAG
rnacentral:rRNA from 1 species